GCGGGUCUUUAAACUUAAUAGAAAAUUCUAAUUAUUGAAAUAAACAAAAACUUUUGUAAAAAUUCAUUAAAUAUAAACAUAAAUAUUUUGUUUAUCUGUGAACAUAUUCAUUAAUUUAUUAAAUUUUACUAAUAAUAAAUAAUUUUUUGUCUGCAAUGUAAAACGUAAACAUGUUUUUAUCGUCUGAAAUCAAUUUUUGUGUUUUUACAUUGAAAAUAUUUCUAAAAUUCUGAAUUAAAGUGGAAAUAUAAAAAUAUAUUUGAAAUUAUUUAAAAAUUUAUUUAAAAUAAUAGAAAAGAAAAUAUUUAAAAUAAAUUUUGAAAGGAAAUCGAAAAUGUUUUUGUGCAAUAUUUAUAAUGAAAACAGCUGAAGUAAAACUUAUUUUUAUUGUAAGAGAUAAAAAUUAAAACUUUGAGAACACAAAAAGGACACAUAACAACAAUUUUGCAUAUAUAAGAAGAGGAGAAACUAAAUAAAAUUUCAGAAAGUGAUAAAAACUUGCAAUUUCAGUGCAAUAAAACAUUUGUCUUUUUUUUCUCGUUCUAAUUUUUUUUAUCACACAUUUUUUUUUUCAUUUCAAAAGAUAAAAGCAAAAAUAGAAAAAUAGAAGGAAAGAAAAAGGCAAAAAGUGAAUGCAAGCGAAAACUUUAAGUGUGUGUAUAUUUACACACACACACAAAUAAACAAAUUUUAAAAAUAAGAUAGAAAAAAAAAUGGAGAGGAGGAAAGAAGAGUGACAAUCGAAAGCCAAAAAAAAAUGAAAAUUUUUAAAAUUUAAAAAGGAAAACAAAACAAAUAAAUAAAACAAAAAAAGGUAAAAACAAGAAUAAUAAAAAUAGAGCAGGAAAAAAAAAGGAUCACAAUAAUAAGAAAAGAAAACUGAUAGACGCAAGGAUACUCACUGUUCCUUGGUCAUUUUUUAUGUUUUUUUUUAUUUUUUAAUUUUAUUUUUGUUUUUAUUUUUCUUUUAUUUUCUGCCAGUUUUUCGUGUGUUCUAUUUUAAGAUUUUUUUAGUGUUUUUUUUUUUUUUUGAAUUUUUAUUCGGUUUCUUGUUUUUUGGUGGUGAAAAACGACAAUACACACACACACAAAGAGAAAAAAAUUUAAGCAAAAAAAAAAGAGAGGUUUUUUACUUUGACUGGUUGAAACCAUUCAUUAUGGUUGAUAUGCAAAAAAGUGUCUCAGUACAAGUAGAUAGUGAUUUUGCUUUACUUUUACCCAGUGGUGUAUACGAAAUUAAAAAAAUGGAACCAAGGUCAAAAAUUCGAACAAUUAUAUUAUUUUGUUUAUUUUUGGCAGUAGCUGGUAUCAUCGGUUUUGGGUAUUUUUGUCAAGAUCAGGUAAGUUUGCCUUUUUAAUUUAAAUUAUUAAUAAAUUUAAAAUUUAUAACUCAUAAGUAAAUUAAUUCCAAAUUUACAAAUAUCUCUUGGAUGAUACUUGAUUUCAAAAUAUUAAUGGAUACCGAAUUCUAAAUUGAAGUGGAAAAAUAAGAAAUAAUUAAUAUUUUUAGACAACUUUUUCUCUCAAAUCAGCCUAAGUGAUUGGGGUGGGUUUAACUAGGUUUCGAUUCUAGAUUAAUUUCAUAACGUACAUACGCUAGUACUUUCUAUGAUCUGAAAUAUUUUUGGUGUUCACCUUUAUUCAUUGUCAUUCAAUAAUGAAAUUUUUAAAUGAU